rnacentral:rRNA from 1 species
AUUGAACGCUGGCGGCAGGCCUAACACAUGCAAGUCGAGCGAGCGGCGGACGGGUGAGUAAUGUCUGGGGACUGCCCGUUAGUGGGGGAUAACUACUGGAAACGGUAGCUAAUACCGCAUAUUAUCGGAUAACCCAUAUGUGGUUAGCUAGUAGGUGAGGUAAUGGCUCACCUAGGCGACGGUCCCUAGCUGGUAUGAGAGGAUCACCAGCCACACUGGAACUGAGGUACGGCCCAGACUCGUACGGAGGCAGCAGUGGGGAAUAUUGCGCAAUGGGCGAAAGCCGGAUGCAGCCAUGCCGCGUGUAUGAAGAAGGCCCUAGGGUUGUAAAGUACUGUCAGUCGGGAGGCGUUACCAGCAGAAGAAGCACCGGCUAACUCCGUGCCAGCAGCCGCGGUAAUAC